rnacentral:lncRNA from 1 species
UCAGUUAUUCAUCAGCAACGAUUCAAAUAUCAACCUUAAAAAUUUAUUAUUUUCUGGCUUUGCAAAAUCAUACAGUACAGACAGUCACAGCGGUCAAAAAUUGGAAAUGCCCAGACAUUAUAAAAGGAAACUGGGAUCUCGCAAAUAUGCAGACUACACAGAAGAAGAUCUGAAGGCAUGUUUGUCAGCCAUAAAAGAUGGCAUGAGCACAAGAGUUGCAGCUGAAACCUUUAAAAUCCCAA